GACAUACUCCCUCCGUCCCAAAAUUCUUGUCUUAGAUUUGUCUAAAUACGGAUGUACCAAAUCAUGUUUUAGUAUUAGAUAUAUCCGCAUCUAGGCAAAUCUAAGACAAGAAUUUUGGAACGAACAAAAGUGAUAG
rfam:Triticum aestivum genome assembly, contig: Triticum_aestivum_CS42_TGACv1_scaffold_513285_6BS